AUGCCUUCAAAAAGGGGACAACACCGUAAAGCUUCGCUAUCGCCGGCCUUGGCACAUAGCCGAAAGCAGGGCUUUCACUCGCAUCUGCUCGAUGAACCUCCAUCCAGCAUCUUGUGCUCCGGAUCUCGACCAUCCCCAGCACCUCAGCAACGUUGGUACUUCAGCCACCACCAUAGCACCUCACGCCUCCACGCUCUGGUCAGAUGCACAUGUCACCCUGCCACACCUCACCGGCGGAGCCUAGCCACAAGAUGCAACACCACCGCCAUCCCGCAGGGCCACCGGCCACUCCCAUGUCCUUAG
rnacentral:rRNA from 1 species